GACGAACGCUGGCGGCGUGCUUAACACAUGCAAGUCGAGCGAUGAAGUUCCUUCGGGAAUGGAUUAGCGGCGGACGGGUGAGUAACACGUGGGUAACCUGCCUCAUAGAGGGGAAUAGCCUUCCGAAAGGAAGAUUAAUACCGCAUAAGAUUGUAGUGCCGCAUGGCAUAGCAAUUAAAGGAGUAACCCGCUAUGAGAUGGACCCGCGUCGCAUUAGCUAGUUGGUGAGGUAACGGCUCGCCAAGGCGACGAUGCGUAGCCGACCUGAGAGGGUGAUCGGCCACAUUGGGACUGAGACACGGCCCAGACUCCUACGGGAGGCAGCAGUGGGGAAUAUUGCACAAUGGGGGAAACCCUGAUGCAGCAACGCCGCGUGAGUGAUGAAGGUCUUCGGAUUGUAAAACUCUGUCUUCAGGGACGAUAAUGACGGUACCUGAGGAGGAAGCCACGGCUAACUACGUGCCAGCCGCCGCGGUAA
rnacentral:rRNA from 1 species